rnacentral:misc_RNA from 1 species
GAUGAAGAACGCAGCGAAAUGCGAUACUUGGUGUGAAUUGCAGAAUCCCGCGAAUCAUCGAGUUUUUGAACGCAAGUUGCGCCCGAAGCCAUUCGGCCGAGGGCACGUCUGCCUGGGUGUCACGCAUCGUUGCCCCCCCAAACUCCGGUUCGGGCGGGGCGGAAGUUGGCCUCCCGUGCGUGCCUGCGCGCGCGGUUAGCCCAAAAGCGAGUCCUCGGCGACGAGCGCCACGACAAUCGGUGGUUUUUUUACCCACGUUCCUCGUCGUGCGUGUCCCGUCGCCCGAACGCGCUCUUGUGACCCUCACGCGUCGCCUCGGCGGCGCUCCCAACGCGACCCCAGGUCAGGCGGGACUACCCGCUGAGUUUAAGCAUAUCAAUAAGCGGAGGA